rnacentral:rRNA from 1 species
AUUGAACGCUGGCGGCAGGCUUAACACAUGCAAGUCGAGCGGAGUGAUGGUGCUUGCACUAUCACUUAGCGGCGGACGGGUGAGUAAUGCUUAGGAAUCUGCCAUUUAGUGGGGGACAACAUUCCGAAAGGAAUGCUAAUACCGCAUACGUCCUACGGGAGAAAGCAGGGGAUCUUCGGACCUUGCGCUAAAUGAUGAGCCUAAGUCGGAUUAGCUAGUUGGUGGGGUGAAGGCCUACCAAGGCGUCGAUCUGUAGCGGGUCGGAGAGGAUGAUCCGCCACACUGGGACUGGGACACGGCCCAGACUCCUACGGGAGGCGGCAGUGGGUAAUAUUGGACAAUGGGCGGAAGCCUGAUCCAGCCAUGCCGCGUGUGUGAAGAAGGCCUUUUGGUUGUAAAGCACUUUAAGCGAGGAGGAGGCUCUCCUAGUUAAUACCCAGGAAGAGUGGACGUUACUCGCAGAAUAAGCACCGGCUAACUCUGUGCCAGCCGCCGCCGUAACAC